rnacentral:ncRNA from 2 species
UUGCCCUGUAUGUCAUUUUCAGUCUUCAAUUCCUCCCAGCCCAUUAAAUGGAAACUGAGUUGAGGCGAGUUGAAGACUAAAAAUGCUGUGCAGAAUCA